UGAAAAUGGAGCAAAGUGGGUAAUCAUGGGAAACAUAAAAAAAAAUCAAGUACCUACCAUAGAUUGCGUGCAAUUUGCAAAAUUACCCCAAGAUGGAUCUAAAUGUAUUAAUAUACAACUUUUCUUUUAUCCUUUGAUGGGAUUAACUACAACCAAAGUGAAGUUUAGGACGGAGUAAGAAAGCCCUUGCCUACUCUGUUUAGUUUAUGGUAAUAAAUUCCAAUUAUUUUGAAUUGACAUUGUUCUGCACAGCCUGAGGUUGACUCCAAGAACUUCUUUCUCUGCUCUGUUAAGGUACCAAAGACAAAUGACUAUGCUAAAUUCUUUGGCAUAGCUCCAUUUAUUUAAACCUCAUCUAUGCUUUUCUUUUUCUCUUUGCAGGCCCUAUGGGAAAAGAAAAUACACACUGACCAAAUGCUGAGCCUGUUAUGAAUUCUGUGAUUUCAAAAGAGAAGUGAGCUAAGCCUGAGAUUAAGCUUCUCUGUUUUAGGGGACUCUGUUGAUAAAUUAUCCUAAUAGGAAUGGAUACCAACUUUUUGUGUGUGUAAACUUGUGAGAGGUCAUGGUCCGCCCCUCCACCCAGCUUUUUUCUCACCUAUCUCCUUGGAAGUCCAACCCCAUAAAAUACUGAAACUAUUAAUUCACAAGACAUGUGCACAGAUCUUGUUUAGUUCUGCCCCUAAUCUUGCUUUCAUAAAUAUUUGAAAAUUGCAGCUAAAGCCAAAUUGUGCUUCUCACAUAAUGGAACUGCAGGCUAGUAUAGCAGCGCAAUCCUUUAAAGUUCCUGGAGGGGGGAAGUGAGAGAUGAUGAGAUUUGGGGACAGUUUAUGUGAGCAAUUUGUUAUGCAUGCAGGAGGAAUGGCGACUUGAUGACAGAUUCACUUCUUGGUCCUGAACCUUAAUUAACAAGGCCCUCUGAGUAACAUGCGGAGAAACAAUAGGAAAAUUCUUCUGAGCAUUUCACAGAUUAUUCACUUAUAAUCUUUGGGGAUUUAUUUUAUUAUUAUUUUUCUUUCUUUGUGAGCUGCAGCUUUGUUGCCUUGACAUCCACACUCAAGAGUUAUUGGUAUCAAACCAAGCUAUAUAAAAAGCUAUCAAGCACUUCUCAGAUUUUCCACAGUUCAAAGCAGUGUUGGCAGCCUGCCAGCCAUGAAAGAUGAGCUGCACCCCAAUGUGAUGAGUGUGGCUGCACGUGCAAAAGGGAGCUUGGGGGUGAGGUAGGAAAGGCUGCCAACUUAGAGAACCCCACAGGGGAGAAAGCUGGAUCCAUCCCCAUAGACCUGAGGGUCAAUUCUGCCCCUGCAGGGAGCAAACGAAACUAAUAAUGUUGACUAGGUACAACCAUCAUAGAAAUAUUACAUUCUUGGAAAAUAAUUUUUUAAAAGAGAAGAAUCCAGCUAUAUUAACCAGAAAAAUAUCGGCGAGGAUUUUAUUUAUUUUGGCCCCAGAUACACCGGAGACCUUAGGUCUGGGAAUCUGCUGAGACCAAAACACCAAUGUGUAGGACCUGAGGUGAUAAUAUUCUUCUUACAGACAGAUGAUAUAAAAUUAGGAAUUUCUAAGAAAUCUUGGAACAUUCUAUUAUCCCUGAUUUUGCCUGUGCACAAGCUUCAACUUUACUUUUUAAUUUUUGUUCAGUCUUUUCCAAUCCCAGUUGGUAAAUGGAGGUGAAACCAUGAGGCACAUUUUAGUUUGUUUUAAUCUUUCCAAAACUCAGUGAUGCUUGGAGUCAUUUUCAGGUAGCAUGGUUGGCCGUGUUGUUGCAAAUUAGGACAUUAAGACCCAGAGACAUUCUGUUCUUAUCAAAGCCCGCGUAGCUAGCAAACACCAGAACUGAAACCCAAAUUUCUACAAUCACCAGUCACCCUCUGAUCCAGGAAUAUAUCAUCCACUGAGUAACAGCAUAUUCACUUGUAAAUGCAAACAUCAUAUAAAGCUAUGUAGAGCAGCAGUCCCCAACUUUUUUUGGCACCAAAGAGCAGUUUCAUGAAAAACAAUUUUUCUACGGACUACAGGGUGUGGGGAGAUGGUUUUGGGAUGAAACUGUUCCAGCUCAGAUCAACAGGCAUUAGAUUCUCAUAAGGAGCUCACAACCUAGAUCCCUCACCUGCACAGUUCACAAUAGGGUUCACACUCCUAUGAGAAUCAAAUGCUGCCACUGAUCUGACAGGAGGUUGAGCUAAGGCAGUAAUGCUUGCUUGCCUGCCACUAACCUCCUGCUGUGUGGCCCAGUUCCUAACACGCCCUAGACCAGUAGCCGUUGGGGGCCCCUGAUGUAGAAGACUCUGUUGGUGCCCCAAGUAUUUUCUCUGCCAGUCAUUUGUGGGUAUUCUAUGUUACACAAAUUGAAAAUGCAAGUUAACCCACUGAAGUGACCCUCAACCAAUGAAGGAUAGAAAUUGGUGGAUAGGGCUGGGCACGGUGGCUCACACCUAUAAUCCCAGCACUUUGAGAGGCUGAAGUGGGUAAAUCACCUGAGGUUGGGAGUUCGAGACCAGCCCGACCAACAUAAAGAAACCCCAUCUCUACUAAAAAUACAAAAUUAGCAGGGCGUGGUGGCGCAUAUCUGUAAUCCCAGCUACUCGGGCGGCUGAGGCAGGUGAAUCCCUUGAACCCGGGAGGCAGAGGUUGCAGUGAGCUGAGAUCGUACUCCAGUUGCAGUGAGCCAUUGUACUCCAGCCUGGGCAACAAGAGUGAAACUCCAUCUCAAAACAAAACAACAACAACAACAAAAAAAAAAAAAAAAAAAAGAAAAAAGAAAUUAGUGGACAGCUCUCACAGCAUCUUCACUACUUAGUGGCAUAAUUUCUAUGCACAUUCAACACAGGUUCUCAAAGUGUCCACGUUGGACUGAGACUUAGUUAUCUACAGCAGUGACCAAUUCAUUAAUGUUCCUUUUUCUGUGACCUAUUCAUUAACGUACCUUUCUCUUUCCCUGUCUCAGUUCUUCCCUCUCACUUUCAAAUAUAUUACUUGCACCCAAAUCAACCCAAACCAACACCAUUAACUUGCAUAUUUAUCACGUACUACAUCUAUCAAUGAGCCCAGAAUCCAAAGAUCUCGCAACAGAAAGAAAAACCCAGUUGGAUCUUUGUUUCCUGUUCCAGAUAUAGCUUUACCUACGACAAGAGAAUUGCUACUUUCUUUUCAAAGUACUUUAUGCUACCAUGAUAUUUUAAGAAUAAUGCAAUUUGAUUGGAGGACAGACUUGUAUAAAAGCAAUUGAGAAUAAAAUGAAUAUCUACUUCUAAAUUCUACCAACCAG
rnacentral:lncRNA from 1 species